GAUGAAGAACGUAGCGAAAUGCGAUAAGUAAUGUGAAUUGCAGAAUUCAGUGAAUCAUUGAAUCUUUGAACGCACAUUGCGCCCGCCAGUAUUCUGGCGGGCAUGCCUGUUCGAGCGUCAUUUCAACCAUCAAGCCCCAGGCUUGUGUUGGGGACCUGCGGCUGCCGCAGGCCCUGAAAACCAGUGGCGGGCUCGCUGUCACACCGGGCGUAGUAGAUUUUAUCUCGCUCUGGGCGUGCUGCGGGUUCCGGCCGUUAAAAAACCCUUUUAACCCAAGGUUGACCUCGGAUCAGGUAGGAAUACCCGCUGAACUUAAGCAUAUCAAUAAGCGGAGGA
rnacentral:misc_RNA from 1 species